UGAGGGAAUAUUUGGGUCAAUGGGCGAGAGCCUGAACCAGCCAAGUAGCGUGCAGGACGACGGCCCUAUGGGUUGUAAACUGCUUUUAUAAGGGAAUAAAGUGGGUCACGUGUGACUUUUUGCAUGUACCUUAUGAAUAAGGACCGGCUAAUUCCGUGCCAGCAGCCGCGGUAAUACGGAAGGUCCGGGCGUUAUCCGGAUUUAUUGGGUUUAAAGGGAGCGUAGGCCGGAGGGUAAGCGUGUUGUGAAAAUGCAGUUGCUCAACAUCUGCACUGCAGCGCGAACUGUUCUCCUUGAGUGCGCAGGAAGUAGGCGGAAUUCGUCGUGUAGCGGUGAAAUGCUUAGAUAUGACGAAGAACUCCGAUUGGGAAGCCAGCUUACUGUAGCGCCACU
rnacentral:rRNA from 1 species